GGGGUUGUAGCUCAGUGGUAGAAUGCUUGCCUCACAUGCAUGAGGCCCUGGGUUCAGUCCCCAGUACCACCU
rnacentral:tRNA from 1 species